GAUGAACGCUGGCGGCGUGCCUAAUACAUGCAAGUCGAGCGAACAGACGAGGAGCUUGCUCCUCUGACGUUAGCGGCGGACGGGUGAGUAACACGUGGAUAACCUACCUAUAAGACUGGGAUAACUUCGGGAAACCGGAGCUAAUACCGGAUAACAUGUUGAACCGCAUGGUUUAACAGUGAAAGACGGUCUUGCUGUCACUUAUAGAUGGAUCCGCGCCGCAUUAGCUAGUUGGUGAGGUAACGGCUUACCAAGGCAACGAUGCGUAGCCGACCUGAGAGGGUGAUCGGCCACCUGGGAACUGGGACACGGUCCAGACUCCUACGGGAGGCAGCAGUAGGGAAUCGUCCGCAAUGGGCGAAAGCCUGACGGAGCAACGCCGCGUGAGUGAAGAAGGUCUUCGGAUCGUAAAACUCUGUUAUUAGGGAAGAACAAAUGUGUAAGUAACUAUGCACGUCUUGACGGUACCUAAUCAGAAAGCCACGGCUAACUACGUG
rnacentral:rRNA from 1 species